rnacentral:rRNA from 2 species
GUGACAGCGGAGGGAUCAUUA